rnacentral:rRNA from 1 species
CGCAAGUGCGAUAAGGGGACCCCAAGUGCGAGGGCAUAUAGUCCUCGCUUUUUCCGACCGUAAGGUGGUCGGCGAAUAAGGGCUGGGCAAGACCGGUGCCAGCCGCCGCGGUAAUACCGGCAGCCCAAGUGAUGACCGAUAUUAUUGGGCCUAAAGCGUCCGUAGCCGGCCAUGAAGGUUCAUCGGGAAAUCCGCCAGCUYAACUGGCGGGCGUCCGGUGAAAACCACAUGGCUUGGGACCGGAAGGCUCGAGGGGUACGUCCGGGGUAGGAGUGAAAUCCCGUAAUCCUGGACGGACCACCGAUGGCGAAAGCACCUCGAGAAGACGGAUCCGACGGUGAGGGACGAAAGCUAGGGUCUCGAACCGGAUUAGAUACCCGGGUAGUCCUAGCUGUAAACGAUGCUCGCUAGGUGUGGCACAGGCUACGAGCCUGUGCUGUGCCGUAGGGAAGCCGAGAAGCGAGCCGCCUGGGAAGUACGUCC